rnacentral:rRNA from 1 species
UACGAAGGGGGCUAGCGUUGCUCGGAAUCACUGGGCGUAAAGCGCACGUAGGCGGAUUGUUAAGUCAGGGGUGAAAUCCUGGAGCUCAACUCCAGAACUGCCUUUGAUACUGAGAGUCUUGAGUACGGGAGAGGUGAGUGGAACUGCGAGUGUAGAGGUGAAAAUUCGUAGAUAUUCGCAAGAACACCAGUGGCGAAGGCGGCUCACUGGCCCGGUACUGACGCUGAGGUGCGAAAAGCGUGGGGGAGCAAACAGGG